UACCAGCACCCCGAGUGGUCGGGACGUUUAUUGGGCCUAAAGCAUCCGUAGCCGGUUCUACAAGUCUUCCGUUAAAUCCAACUGCUUAACAGGUGGGCUGCGGAAGAUACUAUAGAGCUAGGAGGCGGGAGAGGCAAGCGGUACUCGAUGGGUAGGGGUAAAAUCCGUUGAUCCAUUGAAGACCACCAGUGGCGAAGGCGGCUUGCCAGAACGCGCUCGACGGUGAGGGAUGAAAGCUGGGGGAGCAAAUAGG
rnacentral:rRNA from 1 species